UACGUAGGGCGCAAGCGUUGUCCGGAUUUAUUGGGCGUAAAGAGCUCGUAGGCGGCUUGUUGCGUCGACUGUGAAAACCCACGGCUCAACUGUGGGACUGCAGUCGAUACGGGCUAGCUAGAGUUCGGUAGGGGAGAGUGGAAUUCCUGGUGUAGCGGUGAAAUGCGCAGAUAUCAGGAGGAACACCGAUGGCGAAGGCAGGUCUCUGGGCCGCUACUGACGCUGAGAAGCGAAAGCAUGGGGAGCGAACAGG
rnacentral:rRNA from 1 species